rnacentral:misc_RNA from 1 species
GAUGAGAACGUAGCGAAAUGCGAUAAGUAAUGUGAAUUGCAGAAUUCAGUGAAUCAUCGAAUCUUUGAACGCACAUUGCGCCCGCCAGUAUUCUGGCGGGCAUGCCUGUUCGAGCGUCAUUUCAACCAUCAAGCCCCAGGCUUGUGUUGGGGACCUGCGGCUGCCGCAGGCCCUGAAAACCAGUGGCGGGCUCGCUGUCACACCGGGCGUAGUAGAUUUUAUCUCGCUCAGGGCGUGCUGCGGGUUCCGGCCGUUAAAAAGCCUUUUUUACACAAGGUUGACCUCGGAUCAGGUAGGAAGACCCGCUGAACUUAAGCAUAUCAAUAAGCGGAGGA